GUGGUAGGGGAGCGUUCUGUAAGCCGAUGAAGGUGUAUUGAGAAGUAUGCUGGAGGUAUCAGAAGUGCGAAUGCUGACGUGAGUAACGACAAAACGGGUGAAAAACCCGUUCGCCGAAAGACCAAGGGUUCCAGUCCAACGUUAAUCGGGGCUGGGUGAGUCGACCCCUAAGGCGAGGCCGAAAGGCGUAGUCGAUGGGAAAAUGGUUAAUAUUCCAUUACUUCUGUGUAAUGCGAUGAGAGGACGGAGAAGGCUAAAUCAGCCUGGCGUUGGUUGUCCAGGUGAAAGGAUGUAGGCAUGUAUCUUAGGCAAAUCCGGGGUACUCUAUGCUGAGAUCUGAUAGCAAGCUGUACUUGUACAGCGAAGUGGUUGAUGCCAUGCUUCCAGGAAAAGUCUCUAAGCUUCAGUUACACAGGAAUCGUACCCGAAACCGACACAGGUGGUCAGGUCGAGUAGACCAAGGCGCUUGAGAGAACUCUGCUGAAGGAACUAGGCAAAAUGGUACCGUAACUUCGGGAGAAGGUACGCUGUUGUUGGUGAUGGAACUCGCUUCCUGAGCUGACGACAGCCGCAGAAACCAGGCCGCUGCAACUGUUUAUUAAAAACAUAGCACUCUGCAAACACGAAAGUGGACGUAUAGGGUGUGAUGCCUGCCCGGUGCUGGAAGGUUAAUUGAUGGGGUUAGCGUAAGCGAAGCUCUUGAUCGAAGCCCCAGUAAACGGCGGCCGUAACUAUAACGGUCCUAAGGUAGCGAAAUUCCUUGUCGGGUAAGUUCCGACCUGCACGAAUGGCAUAAUGAUGGCGGCGCUGUCUCCAGCAGAGGCUCAGUGAAAUCGAAAUCGCUGUGAAGAUGCAGUGUACCCGCGGCUAGACGGAAAGACCCCGUGAACCUUUACUGCAGCUUGACACUGAACUUUGACCUUACUUGUGUAGGAUAGGUGGGAGGCUUUGAAGCUGGAACGCUAGUUCCAGUGGAGCCGUCCUUGAAAUACCACCCUGGUAAUGUUGAGGUUCUAACUCUGUCCCGUGAUCCGGGACGAGGACCGUGUCUGGUGGGUAGUUUGACUGGGGCGGUCUCCUCCUAAAGAGUAACGGAGGAGUACGAAGGUGCGCUCAGCGUGGUCGGAAAUCACGCGUAGAGUAUAAAGGCAAAAGCGCGCUUAACUGCGAGACCCACAAGUCGAGCAGGUACGAAAGUAGGUCUUAGUGAUCCGGUGGUUCUGUAUGGAAGGGCCAUCGCUCAACGGAUAAAAGGUACUCUGGGGAUAACAGGCUGAUACCGCCCAAGAGUUCAUAUCGACGGCGGUGUUUGGCACCUCGAUGUCGGCUCAUCUCAUCCUGGGGCUGAAGCAGGUCCCAAGGGUAUGGCUGUUCGCCAUUUAAAGAGGUACGCGAGCUGGGUUUAGAACGUCGUGAGACAGUUCGGUCCCUAUCUACCGUGGGCGCUGGAAAUUUGAGAGGAUCUGCUCCUAGUACGAGAGGACCAGAGUGGACGAACCUCUGGUGUACCGGUUGUGACGCCAGUCGCAUCGCCGGGUAGCUAUGUUCGGAAGGGAUAACCGCUGAAAGCAUCUAAGCGGGAAGCCUACCUCAAGAUAAGAUUUCCCUAGGACUUUAUGUCCUCUAAAGAGCCGUUCGAGACUAGGACGUUGAUAGGUUGGAUGUGGAAGCAUAGUGAUAUGUGAAGCUGACCAAUACUAAUUGCUCGUGAGGCUUGACUAUACAACACCCAAGCAGUUG
rnacentral:rRNA from 1 species